rnacentral:rRNA from 1 species
CGAUCACAGGCCAUGCCUUACAUACGGCGAGUGAAGCGGCAAAAGCUCAAAUUUGAAAUCUGGCACCUUCGGUGUCCGAGUUGUAAUUUGAAGAAGGUAACUUUGGAGUUGGCUCUUGUCUAUGUUCCUUGGAACAGGACGUCACAGAGGGUGAGAAUCCCGUGCGAUGAGAUGCCCAAUUCUAUGUAAAGUGCUUUCGAAGAGUCGAGUUGUUUGGGAAUGCAGCUCUAAGUGGGUGGUAAAUUCCAUCUAAAGCUAAAUAUUGGCGAGAGACCGAUAGCGAACAAGUACAGUGAUGGAAAGAUGAAAAGAACUUUGAAAAGAGAGUGAAAAAGUACGUGAAAUUGUUGAAAGGGAAGGGCUUGAGAUCAGACUUGGUAUUUUGCGAUCCUUUCCUUCUUGGUUGGGUUCCUCGCAGCUUACUGGGCCAGCAUCGGGUUUGGAUGGUAGGAUAAUGACUAAGGAAUGUGGCUCUACUUCGGUGGAGUGUUAUAGCCUUGGUUGAUACUGCCUGUCUAGACCGAGGACUGCGUCUUUUGGCUAGGAUGUUGGCAUAAUGAUCUUAAGCCACCCCGCCUAAAACAAGGGAAA